CGGCAGCGCGGCAGCGCGGCGACCCCUGCUGGAAGCCGUGCCUCGGAGGACUACUUGGGGAGAGCUGCCUGGAGGACAAGCCCAGCUCUGAGCUGAGCCAGAAGUUAGCGCCCUGUGCUUCCACAAGGAAAGGAUAAUGCUAUGUAACAGAAUGGCCUUUGACAAGUUACGGUGGUGAGAUGAGGGUUCUACUGGGGGCUGUGAUACCCUGAGGAGAAAGCUGUCCCUCUGCGCACAGGUGUGCCCUUGACCAGCAUGCCCUCCAGCCAAGGGUGCCAGCCAGGUGACUGAAACCAACUGCAAGGUCUUCCAGACUUUCCCACCAGAUUUUGUUACUGGCAGCAGCCGCCAGGCAUCCAGUCUGCUUUGCCGCAUGAGACAAGGGGGAAACAUAUUAACCAAGCCACUUCUCUCUAAGCACACACUUACACAUCUUUUCAUUUUGAGGAACUGACUCAAACUCUGUCUGGAACUGCAAAAAAAGUAGCUGAGGGCAGAAGCAGUGAUAGCAGUUGUUCUCACAGGGUGAUGUCAUGAUCACCAACAGUAUUAGCAUCGCUUGGGGAUUUAGAAGUGCACAACCUAGGGUCCUUUUCCUGACCUACUAAGUCAGAAACUCUGGAGCAGGACCCAGCAAUCUGUUUUAACAAGUCUUCCAGGUGAUUCUGAUGACACUCAGCAUGGAGCAUCACCGACCUAGAGCUUCAGCUGCUGUCUCCCUCUUUCUUCUUCUUCCUUCUACUUAUGUCUCCCCUCCCCCCCCGCCUCCUGUCCCUCCUCCUCCUCCUUCUAUUCUCCCCCUUUCUCUCUCUCCCUCCUCUCUGUCUUUCCCCUUCCCUUUUAAGAAAAAGGGACCAGCUAGGCAUUCCAAGUUAUACGUAUGUGAGCCCAGUUGUCUCAGAGAACCGGGAAGGGGAUUUAGCGUUUUUUCUCCGUGGAACAUAGGAAUUGCAAAGUGCUUUUUUUAACAGGUAGAAAUUAGAUAAUCAGGCUUAGUAAACCUGAUUAGAGGCCCAGAUGGCUUUACAAGUCUCAGUCUUUUUAAGCACAAAAAUCCUAAGGGAAAGAAGCUGAAUGAUUUACCCCUGACACAGGAAGCUACCCUGACAGCUCCAGCCUGAAGAACUGACAGGGCCUGUGGAUGGAUUGCUUUGCUCAAGUGAGGCCUUUUCCCAUUCUUCUUUAAAAUUUAGAACAGAGGAUUUCCCUCUGGGGAACUUAAAUGUUUGCAGUGUGGCCCUCUGACUCCUGGGUUGGAAUUUACCUGUCAUCUAUAAUUCUCUGGGGAAAACUGGAACCCACGUGAGUGCAUAAGGCCGUGUCUGCCCCCGCACUCUGGGAAGGGGUAUAGGGGUCCUCCCGCCAACUGUCCGUCCAGAGGACUUGCUGUGAACUGAGCCCAAAGGUGCACAUUCAAGGAGCCUUGAGCUGUCAGCCUUCUAUCAUCUGGUCCCUCUUGCCAGGUUUACAGGCACAACGUAAGUGCUGGGAUACUGCGCUGUCCAUGAGGAGCUGCCAUCUGAAGGAGACAGACACAAGAGCAGAUCGUUGUAAUGUGACAAGAUAUGUUUUUUUUUUCUUUUGUUUUUUGUUUGUUUUUUAUGGGGGGGCGCAACUAGAUUUAUUUAUUUAUUUUUAAUGGAGGUACUGGGGAUUGAAUCCAGGUGCCCACCCACUGAACUAUACCUUUCCCCCUACAAGACAUAUUUUAAUAUGUGUGAUGAUAUGGAGGGUUUCUGGAGACAGAAAGAGGAAGUAAACUUGCUGGGCCUGGAAGGAUUUGAUAAAGCUUCACAGAGAAGGUGACAUUUAAGCAGAAGCUUGCACGAUGGGUAGGAGUUUGCUGGUGAAUUAAGGCACCCCCAUCCCUGGGAACAGCAUGUGCAAAGGUACAGAGGCAUGAAAUCGCUGGUGUGCUGGGACGUGAGAAGGGCCACAUGCUGGGGAGGGGGACACUGGGUGGCUAAUUAGGGCCAGGGGGCAAAGGUGGUGUGCAUCUUACCAGCAAGUUUGAACUAUACCUAGGCAUUAAUGAAACCCCUUAAAAAACCAAGUUCCUGUGCAGAGUUUAUGAUUAACCUCUCUACCCAAAACUGUAUUCCCUGGCUUGUCUCUUCUGACCUCAAUCCUGUGCUCACAGUGUUCCAUCACUAACACGCAGGGCAAGCAUACAACGAGAGUUAGAGGACUAAAGCUGCUGUUGUUGAUAGCAUCGAUAAUGUACAGACUCAGGUUGUUCCUCCAGGGUAAGAUGACCUCACAGACAAGACUCAUAAACUGUAGGCAUCCUGACUCCCAAAACUACAAUUAAGAAAUGUCACAAAUUAACCCUGGCUUCUUUGUUCUUCCCCUUUAGAACAUCUCCAACUCUGACCAAACUGGAGUGGACCUGAGGUUUGUCUCCCACUCCCUUGCUUGGCACCCUGCAAUAAGUCCUUGCUUUGCUGCAAACACCUGCUGUCAAGGGGCGCCCUAACGUCCUUCUGGGCUGUCGGAAUGAAGAAGGAGGACAAGGCUGCGUAGGGGAACAGCAGACAUCCUUUAUGCGGAGACCCCAGUCUUCUCCUAGCUCCAAAAGAUGCCAGAAACUGACGCCACUGUCCUGAAAGUCUUGCCAACCCCUAACCCUGAAUCAUCCCCAUCAACAUUUGGAGCCAGUAAACGCCACCAGGUGCACCAAACUGAAGUCAGGAGGAGGAUCUGGGUGAAUUUGGAUCUUGUAGAAACCCUGGCUGGCCGUCUGCACAGGUCACCCCAUUGUUUCAUUAACCUUGUAGGAACGUGCCCUCAAAUUUUAUGAUUAAAUUUUUACUGUUUUCUAUUGAGUGGAGAAAAACAAGAUAGAGAACUUUAUGUACAUGUGCUCCUAAUUUAGCAAAACAAACCAACAAACUUUAAAUACAUAGAUACAUAUAUAUACAAAAAGAAAAUAUUAAAAAAUGUAUUAGUAGUAAUUAUUUCUGGUUAGUGGGCUAUGGGUAAUUUUAAUAUUCUUUCCUAUAUUUUCCAAAUUUUUCUAUAUUGGACAUAUUCUUGAAAUCUGAAAAAAAUGUGUAAAAGAUUAUUGAGAGAACUUUUCUAAGUUCAGAGAUCUAUGUACAAAUAUAUGGCUCUCAAUGGAGAAAUCCCUUUUCAACACAGCUUAUUAAAUUAGUCUUAUUUUAAUGGCUGACUAUUACAAGUUAUUUCUUCCUCAGAAUGACAUCUUAAAACUAUAUUGAGUGGGGAAGGUAUAGUUCAAGUAGUAGAGUGCAUGCUUAGCAUACAUGAAGUCCUGGGUUCAAUCCCUAGUACCUUCUCCAAGAAUAAAUAAAUAAACCUAAUUACCCCUCCCCGCAAAAAAAAAAAACAAACCCAAAACAAAAAACAAAACUAUAUUAGAGGUGGGGAGGAAAUAGCUCAAUGGUAGAGUGCACACUUAGCAUACACAAGGUCCUGGGUUCAAUUCCCAGUACCUCCAUUAAAAAAAAAAACAAAACUUAAUUCCCCUACUCAAAAAAAACUGUAUUGGAUAAGAUGUAAGCAGCGUCUGCUUUAAGAUAUUGUUGAGUGGAAUCUUGAACAACUGUGUUCACAGAAUUUCAGAAAGUGAAAACGUGGGUUCCUGUUUCAGGCUCAAUGUAACAUUUCAUUAAAUGGACCACUGUGUUGUAACAUUCUUCAGGUUUAUAAAAAUAUUUAAUCCAAUUUUCCUGGCCACUUAAAAUUUUACUAAUCUUUUAUAGCAUAAGGGACCCUGUGGCUUUAAACCUAACAUAAAGUGAAGGACCAGGGAAGUAAGACUAAAAAUUGUAUAAGCCUG